CCUGAAUUCAAGAGAGAAAACACCACUGGAGAUAUUGCACAACAAAAAUAGCAGCACCUCUGGGGCUAAAACAGACAGAGAAGAACAAGUUAGAAAUGCAAGUAUUGCCAGUCUUUUCAAUUAGCUGAAUAAAGGAGAUAAGGACUAUAGCAGACAUUACGUGGAUCAUUAUGUACACAACAGGAGAUGAUGCUCUGCAGAGGAAAUGCAAAGAGGUUGAAGACAGGAUGUGGAAUCAAGACUGAUCAUGUGUCUAAUGGAGAUUUUUACUUUCUACUGCUUAAACAACUCAAAUGAGAAGAGGUGAGUCCUUACAGAGGAAAGCAGGAGAGAAGAAGCUUCAACACCUUAAACAACCAGAGAAUGCGAAUGGGAAGAUCACCACUCGCUGAAGGAUGUUCACAAAACAACUCCAAAGAUCCAUGAAAACAGGGUGCCCACGGAGGCAAGAGUGGAUUUAACUUAUUUAACUGUGGUGUCUUGACAGCCUUUAACCCAGAUGAGGUCAAAAAACAACAACAAAAAAGCUGAAGUUAGACAUGAGGAUGCUCAAGAUGAAGUUUAGUGGCGACGAUCUCAAGCAUUAAGCACACAAUACACUACGCUUAGAGAAGAAGGAAAGAUUAUUGAAGCUGUCAAGGGACCUGACUUACUCAAAUAUUUUGGGUUUGGUUUUUGCUGUUGCUGUUUUUAAACACAGCACAGACUUCUUGGUCCUCAGCUAAUUAUACUUGACCCUUGCUUCCUGAAAACAUUCUGAAUGGUUUGUUAUUUUCCAUUGAUUACAUGGCACCAGAAACAGGCUGCCUGGAGAAACAUCUCAGCUUUCUCCUUUAAAAGUCAUGAAAGAAAAGUCUGUGCAUCAUAAGCAAGUUCUGACCAUUUUACUCACAGAAGUUGAAAAACUGAGUAUCUACUUUUAGCCAUCUAAUACAUUCCAGUUUGCCCUCUGGGAAUAUUUUAAGGGAACAUAGGAGCUUUGACAUUAUGCUUUCAGAGUAUAUGUAAAGUGAAUUCUAACCAAUUUGAUUGGUUUCAAGUUCCUGAUGAUUUAAUAUUGCUUAAGUUUCCCCAAACAUACAGGAUUACUAGAAGUGUGUAGACAAACAACAAAAAUGAGAAUAAAGCUACCUGAUAACUUUUCAAUGCAGUGGUAUCAUCACAGUGAAAAUAAGACAUCCCUGUAUCAUGGCUUUAAGUACCCAACAAGAGUCUCACCCUGUUAAAUCGUUUGGCUUGGAAAGUGUGACCAUUUGCACAAUAGAGCUUUCGCCACCGGCGGGCGCCUCGGCGAUAAAUGGACUCUAAGAGGAAAAACACAGGAUUAUACCCAGACAAAUACAAACACAGAACUACAUCAUCUUCUCCUGGAGGUUUCUGUGCAGAGUAGCUCGCAAAGUUUCACUCCUGCUCCUUACAGAAACAGAGGAAUGCUCCAAGUAGCUUUUCCUUUUAUUUUUCUUUUUUUUCAAUUUUAGAGAACAUUUGAAGUAGAAUAUCCUGAUCAACUCAAAGUCAAUUCGUAUUUUUCUGAAGUUAAAAGGAACAGGGAGCCAAGAGAAGGCAAACUGUCCAAACAAUACAAGCACUGGUGUGCAAAGUAUACACAUACCUCAGCUCAACCUGGGGAGAAACUGUGGGGAAGGGAAAGGAGGAAGGAAGGCGAAUUGGGAACGUGUCCUGAUUUAUAGGAUUGCUUGACAAAUCCUCCAGUGUUUUAAAUCCACAGCUGCCACUAUUACUUUUUUCUUUUUCUUUAGCUAUUACUUUAUUUUUCAUUACUUGAGGCAUGUCAGAAACCAAAACUGAAAACAGAGAUAAGAAAAACUACACUGAGCUGUAAAUCUCUUUCUGAUUUAGUCUGCAACCUCAUUUUUUCAGAUAACCAGCAUGACUCAUUCUGCCCAAGUUAACUUUUAAACAUGCACAUGUAGAUUGGAUUGGUCAGAGAUUUGGACACCAAGCUGACAGAUGCUCGUGUGCAUAACAGACACACCCUUUUAUAUAAAACUUUAAGACUGGGGGAAAAAACCUCUUUAAUGUCUAGAACAGUUAACACACUAGAGACUUCUGGAGGAUCCUCCUGAUAGCACCCAAACAUCAAUUUCCAAUGAAUUAAUCACAGAUCUCUAAAUAGUGACACAACAAGUCAUUAUCAUUGCUUACAAGCCUCUGCUCACAAUUGUCAGCCAGCAAUCUGGCAAAUCCCCAAAAGACAGGAAUAGGAUAAAAAACUGGCAUGAAUGAAGAGGCAAAGGCAAGGAAAGCAGAGUGACAUGGGUAGUUAACAGGAAUGUGAAAUGCUUAUUAACAAUGAUUCAGAAGUGAAAAACAUUGUUUUGUCGAGCAAGAUUUCCUAUUCCUUUUAAAUAUUUGAUUGUUGCAGAUUUGCAUUAUUAAUAUUCAUAAGUGCAGGAUGCCAAACCAAAGAACAUCAAAAUCUGCUAAGACAGGAAAUCUGAACUGAUUUUCUGUAUUUCUUAGCUGAAAUGCCUACUUACUAUCUUCUCCUGGACAAGGCAUGCCAGGCCGCUCUGGGACACAAGGAAACACUGCAAGAAAGACAUUAACUUCUGAUUAGCUUUCAUUUCAGACACAAAAUAAAUCUUUGGGUUAAAUGCAACACUCCUGAAAGGCAUUCCAUCUAGAGAACAGCACUGACUGCACUUCAACAAAACCUUCUUUAAGAACAGAAGAGCUAAAAGCACAGUGAAUGCUUAUCAGCAUCCCUUGACAGGAUGGCCACAGGCCUGAGAGGAAAAGGAUGUGAAAGGCACAGGAAUGGAAGCUGCUUCAGCACUGCCAAGACUUACACCAGGACUUUCAAAAGCAGUUAGAGGUCGACUCUCUCCUCAAACCUCAAUGGAAACUUUUGACAAAUAUCAUAAUCUAAGUGCAACACCCUGUUUUUCUGAUUUGUAACUACUACUUUCACACUCACACAACUAUUUGAAAUAAAAUUCCUUAAAGAAAGGAUACCAAGGCAAAAAAAAAGGUGGGAGUUGGCUGGUUUUGUUUCUUAUUUUUUUAAUAAAACAACUGCAGUUUUGUUGACCAUUUGUGAUGGUGCAAACUAAAUUACAUACCAAAUCCUUGAUGAUAAAGUUUCUCAAACUUUUCUGUUUUCUUCGGUGUCUGAUGCAGAUUAGUAACAUUAUUAAAAAAUUAGCCCCCUAAGAGAAUAAGCCUUUUUCAAAAUAAUAUUGUAACUGAAACAUUUUAAAAACAAAGUUGAGUCUCAAUCAUCACUGCCCCAAAGAAAGAAAAUACUUUUAGUUAUAAGCUCAACUUUUUCCCCCCCCUCUUCAUCUACACAAGAUGUUCUGUGCAAGAACAAGGGAUUUAUCUCUGCCUGCUUGUCCUCCAGCAUGAGCAGAAGUUCAUUUUUAGCCCAAAUCCCAUACAGCAAAUCUGCCUUUCCAUAUUCCUAAUUUUUAACAGAAAUACUACUUUCCAUGUCUUUAAGUGGCAAACUGGAGGAAGGCAGAAUCAUUUCCAUCCCGGCUAAACUGGAUCCAGUCUGGAAGUUUUACUGCUUUGAGUCCUCAGUCAAUAGCACAGUCAGAAAGUCCACAAGCAACAGAGCAUUAACUAUUCUCUUUGUGUUUUAUACUGCAAGGCAUCCAAAUUAAUACAGCCACUGCUAAAGCUUUUCAGUGCAACCACACACCCAGCAGCAGGAGGCAUUUCAACUCACCCCACAGAAGUUUUUCCAGAGAAUUUGUUUUGUUUCUAAUGUAUCACAGUGCUUUGUUCCAACGUAUCUUCCCCCAGAACAGGAAGGACAUGGACCUGUUGGAGCCAGCCCAGAGGAGGUCACCGAGUUGAUUAGAGGGAUGGAGGACUCAGCUAUGAGGAAAGGCUGGGACAGCUGGGACUGUUCAGCCUGGAGCAGCUUUGGGGUGACCUAAUUGUGGCCUGCCAGGACCUGAAGGAGCCAACAAGGAAUGUGAAGAGAGAGACUGUCUGCAAGGGAUGGAAUGACAGGACAGGGAAUGACAGCUCCACACUGACAGAGUGUGGUUCAGAUCACAUAUUGGGAAAAAAUUCUUCCCUGUGAGGGUGGGGAGGCCCCGGCACAGGGUGCCCACAGAAGCUCUGGCCAUCCCUUCUCUGAAGUGUCCAAGGCCAGACAGGAUGGGGCUCUGGGCAGCCUGGGACUGUGGAAUGAGACAAUCUGUAACAUUCAACCAACCCAUUCUGUGGUUCUAUCCAUUCUAUGU